AAAAAGGCAAAAGUGGGUGGGGAAAUUUGAAAGUAGGGGGCAGGUUUCAUUCUCUGAAUCUGCAGGGGAUGGGAGCUGGAGGGCCCCCAGGGACAGCCGACAAAGUGAUUCAUCUCAAGCCCUUCUUGGACCAAUUGGGCAGUAGUUAGAGGGUCUGUGUUUCAGGGUGGAGAUAGUAGUAGUGGAGUCAGAGAGACAGAUAGUGCCCACGUGGCUGGUGAGACACCUGGAAAGAACAGAGCACCUGCAAACAGAGGACUGGCUGCGGAGGCAACAACUGUCCUCCUCACUCUGACUAAAAGCAGCAUCUGGUGCAACAGGCAGCAGCCACCACCACUAUUCCAGGUGGAUUGGUCAAACAGGUGCAACAGAGGACUGGAAGGAUGUCUUAAUUAUGGAGAUAAGUGCUCAAUAAAGACCAAACAUUUUGAGGAAUGCUAUCUCCCUGAAAACAAGAUAAUAAUGGGUUUUUAACAAAUCGAAGGUUUAAGAUUUCCUUGGAGGACGUCACUGCAGAGGGGCUGCAAACAGCAGGAGAACUGGAAUUCCAAGUGGAGCCUGUAGAUGGGACCGAAUCGCGGCAAUCCUGUGAUUGAACCUGAGGGAGGAGGCGUCGCUUCCUGGGGCCGAACAAAGAAAGUGGUUUCCCAAGAUGGAAUCUAAUCCUAGUGACGAUGCUGUGAAGACUGUUGAAGAGACACCAGAUGGUUUAGGAUAUCAUGUCCGCUCAGGAUCUGACACAGACACCCCAGCCGUCAGCAGCCACCACCCUGAUCUGUCCGCGGCCAUGGACAUCAAGGCGUGACCCUCCUCCAACGAAAGGACUA